rnacentral:lncRNA from 1 species
AUGAUAUGUCACUAUGCAGUUCUAGGCAUGCAGAGACAGGCCUCACCCGAGGAUAUUAAAAAGGCAUAUCGGCAUAUUGGAAACUGGCACUGAAGUGGCACUCAGAUAAAAAUCUUGAGAAUAAAGAAGAAGCAGAGAGAAAAUGCAAACAAGUAGCUGAGGUAUAUGAAGUGCUGUCAGAUGCUAAAAAACUGGACAUCUAUGAAAAAUAUGGCAAAGAAGUGAUAAAGGUAUGGACAACUUCAAAUCUAUAUCAACUUCUACUAAAAUAGUUAAUGGCAGAAAGAUCACUAUGAAGAGAACUGUCAAGAAUAGUCAAGAAAGAGUAGAAGCUGAAAAAAGAUGGCCAGUUAAUGUCCUCACAAAAGAUAGUAAGGAACAACUGCUGUGCUUGAAUAACAAG